CACGUAGGGUGCGAGCGUUGUCCGGAAUUAUUGGGCGUAAAGAGCUCGUAGGCGGUGUGUCGCGUCGGCCGUGAAAACCUGUAGCUUAACUGUGGGCUGCGGUCGGAUACGGGCAUCGACUGGAGUUCGGGCUGAGGGGAGGGACUGGAAUUCCGUAGGUUCGGUGAUGAGCCGGGUUGGAAAAAUUGGCGCCAGGAAUUAAUUCCAAGGGGAAGGGGAAACCAACCCCGGGGUUGGGCCGGAAAAGGGGCCGGGGGGUUCCUCCUUGGGGGGCCCCGGAAUUAACCUUGGAACCGGCUUGGGAAGGGGAAGGCCGGAAAAAAGGCCCGGUUGGGGGGG
rnacentral:rRNA from 1 species